AUCCGUAGGUGAGCCUGCGGAUAUGCUUGUCGAUAGGCGGAGGACGUAUCCGAACUCUUUUGUAUUUUAGUGGCCUCUCUGAGAAAACAAGCAAAUAAGUUAAAACUUUCAACAACGGAUCUCUUGGUUCUGGCAUCGAUGAAGAACGCAGCGAAAUGCGAUAAGUAAUGUGAAUUGCAGAAUUCAGUGAAUCAUCGAAUCUUUGAACGCACAUUGCGCCCGCCAGUACUCUGGCGGGCAUGCCUGUUCGAGCGUCAUUUCAACCCUCAAGCCCUGCUUGGUGUUGGGGUCCUACGGCUGCCGUAGGCCCUGAAAGCUAGUGGCGGGCUCGCUAUAACUCCGAGCGUAGUAGUAAAUAUCUCGCUAGGGAGGUGUCGCGGGUUCCGGCCGUGAAAGCCCAUCUUUUACACAAGGUUGACCUCGGAUCAGGUAGGAAACCCGCUGAACUUA
rnacentral:rRNA from 1 species